CCCUCCAGAUAGCUAGAGCUUCUCACAGUGGUCAUCUGGGGACCAACCCCCCCCCCCUGCCCUGUUGGGGGGCAGGAGUUCCCCUAGCACUCACUUCUACCACAUAGUUUUAUUUAGUCAAGUGAAUGAUUAGACAUCUUGGAACUGAAAGGAUCUCAACCUAUUCUCAAACUUCAAAUGGGUAAGAACCCCCAGCUUACCAGCUUGGAACUGGUCAUGGAAAGCAAAUGCCUAAUGGGCCACUUUUGGUAAACAGAACUGGCGCUGCAGGAUGUAUUG
rnacentral:ncRNA from 1 species